AUGGGCAUUACAGCACCCCAUAGCGCCCUCAACCCAAAACCGCCACCCCCCCCACAGCCGCACAGUGCAGCCCCAGAUAGCACACUUAACCCACCUCACUGUUGCAAUACAGUCUGGGAUAGUGCCCCCAACUGGCUCCCCGCCAAAGGCAGUGCAGCCCCGGCAGUGCCCCAAGGUCUGUGCAGAGCAGAACGCAGCUCCGCCCUCGCAACGCUCUCCGGGUCUGUGCCCAGGAGAACGCAGCUCCGCCCUUGCAAAGGCACACAGCGCCGGUGCCGGCGUGGCGGAGAGGCGGACAGCGGCGGAGAGGCGGACAGCGGCGGAGAGGCGGACAGCGGCGGAGAGGCGGACAGCGUUGGCGCGGCGGAGAGGCGGACAGCGGCGGCGUGGCGGAGAGGCGGGCAGCGGCGGCGCGGCGGAGAGGCGGUCAGCGGCGGAGAGGCGGUCAGCGGCGGCGCGGCGGAGAGGCGGUCAGCGGCGGAGAGGCGGACAGCGGCGGAGAGGCGGUCAGCGGCGGAGAGGCGGACAGCGGCGGAGAGGCGGUCAGCGGCGGAGAGGCGGUCAGCGGCGGCGCGGCGGAGAGGCGGUCAGCGGCGGCGAGGCGGAGAGGCGGACAGCGGCGGCGCGGCGGAGAGGCGGUCAGCGGCGGCGCGGCGGAGAGGCGGACAGCGGCGGCGCGGCGGAGAGGCGGACAGCGGCGGAGAGGCGGACCGCGGCGGCGCGGCGGAGAGGCGGUCCGCGGCGGCGCGGCGGAGAGGCGGACCGCGGCGGCGAGGCGGACCGUGGCGGCGCGGCGGAGAGGCGGAUAGCGGCGGCGCGGUGGAGAGGCAGACAGCGGCGGAGAGGCGCACAGCGGCGGCGCAGGCGCGGAGAGGCGCACAGCGGCGGCGCAGGCGCGGAGAGGCGCAGGCCCAGGCUCCACUCCCCAGCUGUGAAAGGAGGAGCUCUACGGUGACUUUGAAGACUUGGAAACAGGGGACGUGCACAAGGGAAAAUCGGGCCCCGACACUCAGGAAUGAAGAUAUAGAGAAACAAGGAAGAAAUUGACCCCGACGAAGAGGAAAGUGCCAAGAAAAAGCAUUUGGAUAAGAAGAGAAAAUUGAAGGAGAUGUUUGAUGUGGAAUAUGAUGAAGGAGAAAGCACAUAUUUUGAUGAUCUUAAAGGAGAAAUGCAGAAAGAAGCACAGAUGCGUCUGAAGAAACAUCGCUGGUAUAAGAAAAUCCUCAAGUCCCAAGAUCCAAUCAUAUUUUCUGUAGGGUGGAGGAGGUUUCAGACCAUCCUGCUCUAUUAUAAUGAAG